rnacentral:rRNA from 1 species
UACGUAGGGUGCGAGCGUUAAUCGGAAUUACUGGGCGUAAAGUGUGCGCAGGUGGCCGCGCAAGUCGAGUGUGAAAUCCCCGGGCUUAACCUGGGAAUGGCAUUUGGGACUGCAAGGCUGGAGUGUGGCAGAGGAGACUGGAAUUCCCGGCGUAGCAGUGAAAUGCGUAGAUAUCGGGAGGAAUACCGAUGGCGAAGGCAGGUCUCUGGGCUGACACUGACGCUCAUGCACGAAAGCGUGGGGAGCAAACAGG